rfam:Camelus ferus unplaced genomic scaffold scaffold1431, whole genome shotgun sequence.
GAGGGUAUAGCUCAGUGGUAAAGCGCGUGCUUACUACCCGUGAGGUCCUGGGUUCAAUCCCCAGUACCUCCG